GCUGCUGUAGCUGCUGUAGCUGCUGCUGCUCCUUCGUUCUGGAUCAGUUGAAGUGGCUGAAUCUGUGAUUAUCCAUCCCUCUACAUAAAGAGUUGCAUUAACCCUACGACUGAACUAACUGGUUUAUCUAACUUUAAAAAGCUGUCAGAAGUGAAACCAGAUCCUAACCAGAGCUGCACAGGUAGCUGCUCACCUGGAUCAGCUGAGAUGUUCAACCAGCAGCUUGGAGUGAAUCUGCUGACCAGCUGUUUCCUCCUGUCAGUCAGGAUGAAACGACCCACAGAUUCAUUUCAUGAACGUUUGCAUGGCUGCUGCUCAUUUUCACCCACAGAUGAAAUGUUGAUAUUUACACAAACCUCAACGCAAAGUUGAUUUUUAUAUGGAACAUGCUGCACACGCUGCAUGCAUGAGAACCCAGAGGUUCUGGCUCAGAAUGUUCAUCGGUUCUGCUACCGGUUGGAACCAGGUCCAUUUUCUCACAGAAGGGUCAGCGGUCCUCACAGGAAACAAGAUGGCGGAGCACAGCAGCCGCUGCGGCUCCUCAACCAGGCGGGUUCGGUAGAACUUUUCGGGACUUUGUUGAACCCCGUUUCUCCCGUCCGGACCGGAUUCAUGAGCUCCCCGAACCGGCUCUGACGGCCCGUUCCCCGGCUGGUUGCGUCUGUCCGCCGCCUGAAGCCCCGAUCACCGA